GCGAGGUAACUCUCUCUAAGGAACUCGGCAAAAUGGCCCCGUAACUUCGGGAGAAGGGGUGCCACCGCAAGGUGGUCGCAGUGAAGAGGCCCAGGCGACUGUUUACCAAAAACACAGGUCUCCGCUAAGUCGCAAGACGAUGUAUGGGGGCUGACGCCUGCCCAGUGCCGGAAGGUUAAGGGAGCUGGUCAGCGCAAGCGAAGCUAGCGACUGAAGCCCCGGUGAACGGCGGCCGUAACUAUAACGGUCCUAAGGUAGCGAAAUUCCUUGUCGGGUAAGUUCCGACCCGCACGAAGGGCGUAACGAUCUGGGCGCUGUCUCGGAGAGAGGCUCGGCGAAAUAGAAUUGUCUGUGAAGAUGCGGACUACGUGCACCCGGACAGAAAGACCCUAUGAAGCUUUACUGUAGCUUGGUAUUGUGCCCGGGCUCGCAAUGCGCAGGAUAGGUGGGAGGCUUUGAUCAUCGGCUUGCGGGUCGAUGUGAGCCAACGGUGAGAUACCACUCUUUGCGAGCUAGGGUUCUAACGGCCACCCGUCAUCCGGGGGCCGGACAGUACCUGGUGGGCAGUUUGACUGGGGCGGUCGCCUCCUAAAAGGUAACGGAGGCGCGCAAAGGUUUGCUCAGGCUGGUUGGAAAUCAGCCGACGAGUGUAAAAGCAGAAGCAAGCUUGACUGUGAGACCAACAAGUCGAACAGGGAGGAAACUCGGCUUUAGUGAUCCGACGGUUCUGAGUGGAAGGGCCGUCGCUCAACGGAUAAAAGUUACUCUAAGGAUAACAGGCUGAUCUCCCCCAAGAGUUCACAUCGACGGGGAGGUUUGGCACCUCGAUGUCGGCUCAUCGCAACCUGGGGCUGAAGUCGGUCCCAAGGGUUGGGCUGUUCGCCCAUUAAAGCGGUACGCGAGCUGGGUUCAGAACGUCGUGAGACAGUUCGGUCCAUAUCCGGUGCACGCGCAGGAAUAUUGAGAGGAUUUCUCCCUAGUACGAGAGGACCGGGAGGAACGCACCUCUGGUGUACCAGUUAUCGUGCCAACGGUAAACGCUGGGUAGCCAUGUGCGGAGUGGAUAACCGCUGAAAGCAUCUAAGUGGGAAGCCCACCUCAAGAUGAGUAUUCCCAUGGCGUAAGCCAGUAAGGUCACGGGAAGAACACCCGUUGAUAGGCUCUAUGUGGAAGCGCAGUAAUGCGUGAAGCAGAGGAGUACUAAUAGACCGAGGGCUUGACCG
rnacentral:rRNA from 1 species